rnacentral:rRNA from 1 species
UACGAAGGGGGCGAGCGUUGUUCGGAUUUACUGGGCGUAAAGCGUGCGCAGGCGGCUUUGCAAGACAGAUGUGAAAUCCCCGGGCUUAACCUGGGAACUGCAUUUGUGACUGCAUGGCUGGAGUGCGGCAGAGGGGGAUGGAAUUCCGCGUGUAGCAGUGAAAUGCGUAGAUAUCGGGAGGAACACCAGUGGCGAAGGCGACUACCUGGCCUGUUCUUGACGCUGAGGCGCGAAAGCUAGGGGAGCAAACGGG